AAACGAACCCCGUAUUCCAUGUGAGUCAGUUGACUUCGAUUAGACCAGACCGCCCCAGAGAGGAACGUGCCCACGAGGGCACCACCAGAUGUUGUAGAUAAACCUACUAAAGAAGAAGUUGAGUAUAUCAUAGCUGACCGCACCAUGGGCUAGCCCAUACACCCACUGCACGAGUGGAAUACUACUUAGUCAAGUAGAAAGGAACAAGGUCUUACGGCACGAUCACUAUAUCUUCGAUUUUUCUUUAUCUCUCCUCUAUGGAAAGAGGGGAUGAUACGUGGCGUG
rnacentral:lncRNA from 1 species